GACGAACGCUGGCGGCGUGCUUAACACAUGCAAGUCGAACGGAAAGGCCCUGCUUUUGUGGGGUGCUCGAGUGGCGAACGGGUGAGUAACACGUGAGUAACCUGCCCUUGACUUUGGGAUAACUUCAGGAAACUGUGGCUAAUACCGGAUAGGAGCUCCUGCUGCAUGGUGGGGGUUGGAAAGUUUCGGCGGUUGGGGAUGGACUCGCGGCUUAUCAGCUUGUUGGUGGGGUAGUGGCUUACCAAGGCUUUGACGGGUAGCCGGCCUGAGAGGGUGACCGGACACAUUGGGACUGAGAUACGGCCCAGACUCCUACGGGAGGCAGCAGUGGGGAAUAUUGCACAAUGGGCGGAAGCCUGAUGCAGCAACGCCGCGUGCGGGAUGACGGCCUUCGGGUUGUAAACCGCUUUCGCCUGUGACGAAGCGUGAGUGACGGUAAUGGGUAAAGAAGCACCGGCUAACUACGUG
rnacentral:rRNA from 1 species